AGACCCGAAACCCGGUGAUCUAGCCAUGGGCAGGUUGAAGGUUGGGUAACACUAACUGGAGGACCGAACCGACUAAUGUUGAAAAAUUAGCGGAUGACCUGUGGCUGGGGGUGAAAGGCCAAUCAAACCGGGAGAUAGCUGGUUCUCCCCGAAAGCUAUUUAGGUAGCGCCUCGUGAAUUCAUCUCCGGGGGUAGAGCACUGUUUCGGCUAGGGGGCCAUCCCGGCUUACCAACCCGAUGCAAACUGCGAAUACCGGAGAAUGUUAUCACGGGAGACACACGGCGGGUGCUAACGUCCGUCGUGAAGAGGGAAACAACCCAGACCGCCAGCUAAGGUCCCAAAGUCAUGGUUAAGUGGGAAACGAUGUGGGAAGGCCCAGACAGCCAGGAUGUUGGCUUAGAAGCAGCCAUCAUUUAAAGAAAGCGUAAUAGCUCACUGGUCGAGUCGGCCUGCGCGGAAGAUGUAACGGGGCUAAACCAUGCACCGAAGCUGCGGCAGCGACACUGUGUGUUGUUGGGUAGGGGAGCGUUCUGUAAGCCUGUGAAGGUGUGUCGUGAGGCAUGCUGGAGGUAUCAGAAGUGCGAAUGCUGACAUAAGUAACGAUAAAGCGGGUG
rnacentral:rRNA from 1 species